rnacentral:rRNA from 1 species
GACGAACGCUGGCGGCGUGCCUAAUACAUGCAAGUAGGACGCAGUUGCGAACGGGUGAGUAACGCGUAGGUAACUACCUAUUAGAGGGGGAUAACUAUUGGAAACGAUAGCUAAUACCGCCUACUAGUCGAUGGACCUGCGUUGUAUUAGCUAGUAGGUAGGGUAAUGGCCUACCUAGGCAACGAUACAUAGCCUACCUGGGAGGGGGAACGGGCAACAUGGGAAUGGGACAAGGCCCAGAGUCCUACGGGAGGCAGCAGUAGGGAAUCUUCGGCAAUGGGGGGAACCCUGACCGAGCAACGCCGCGGGAGUUGAGAAGGUUUUCGGAUCGUAAAGCUCUGUUGUUAAGGAAGCGGUACUUAACCAGAAAGGGACGGCUAACUACGUGCCAGCAGCCGCGGUAAUAC